GGCCUAUUAGGUCUCGUAAUUGGAAUGAGAACAAUUUAAAUACCUUAACGAGGAACAAUUAGAGGGCAAGUCUGGUGCCAGCAGCCGCGGUAAUUCCAGCUCUGAUAGUAUAUAUUAAAGUUGUUGCAGUUAAAAAGCUCGUAGUUGAAACUUGGGUGCGUAGGGGCGGUCUCUUUUAGAGUACUACCCUGAAACAUCUUUCUUUGGUGUAAACUCUUUAUUCACUUAAGGAGUGUAAACCAAACAUUUACUUUGAAAAAAUUAGAGUGUUCAAAGCAGGCCUUUGCUCGAAUAUAUUAGCAUGGAAUAAUAGAAUAGGACGUAUGGUUCUAUUUUGUUGGUUUCUAGGACCGUCGUAAUGAUUAAUAGGGACGGUCGGGGGCAUCAGUAUUCAGUUGUCAGAGGUGAAAUUCUUGGAUUUACUGAAGACUAACUACUGCGAAAGCAUUUGCCAAGGACGUUUUCAUUAAUCAAGAACGAAAGUUAGGGGAUCGAAGACGAUCAGAUACCGUCGUAGUCUUAACCGUAAACUAUGCCGACUAGGGAUCGGAGGGCGUUAUAAUAACCUCUCCGGCACCUUACGAGAAAUCAAAGUUUUUGGGUUCUGGGGGGAGUAUGGUUGCAAGGCUGAAACUUAAAGGAAUUGACGGAAGGGCACCACCAGGAGUGGAGCCUGCGGCUUAAUUUGACCCAACACGGGGAAACUCACCAGGUCCAGACACAAUAAGGAUUGACAGAUUGAGAGCUCUUUCAUGAUUUUGUGGGUGGUGGCGCAUGGCCGUUCUUAGUUGGUGGAGUGAUUUGUCUGCUUAAUUGCGAUAACGAACGAGACCUUAACCUGCUAAAUAGCUGUAACAAUAGAUUAUUGUUUUGACAGCUUCUUAGAGGGACUAUCGAUUUUCAAGUCGAUGGAAGUUUGAGGCAAUAACAGGUCUGUGAUGCCCUUAGACGUUCUGGGCCGCACGCGCGCUACACUGACGGAGCCAGCGAGUCUAACCUGUGCCGAGAGGUAUGGGUAAUCUUGUGAAACUCCGUCGUGCUGGGGAUAGAGCAUUGCAAUUAUUGCUCUUCAACGAGGAAUUCCUAGUAAGCGCAAGUCAUCAGCUUGCGUUGAUUACGUCCCUGCCCUUUGUACACACCGCCCGUCGCUACUACCGAUUGAAUGGCUUAGUGAGGCUUCCGGAUUGAUUAACUGGAGAGGGCAACUUUUCUGGUUGAACGAGAAGCUAGUCAAACUUGGUCAUUUAGA
rnacentral:rRNA from 1 species